CCUACGGGGGGCUGCAGUGGGGAAUAUUGCGCAAUGGGCGAAAGCCUGACGCAGCGACGCCGCGUGAGGGAUGAAGGUCUUCGGAUCGUAAACCUCUGUCAGCAGGGAAGAACGGUCACUGUGCUAAUCAGCAGUGAAUUGACGGUACCUGCAAAGGAAGCACCGGCUAACUCCGUGCCAGCAGCCGCGGUAAUACGGAGGGUGCGAGCGUUAAUCGGAAUUACUGGGCGUAAAGCGCUCGUAGGCGGUAUGUCAAGUCAAGGGUGAAAUCCCCGCGCUCAACGUGGGAACUGCCUUUGAAACUGGCAAACUGGAGUGUGUGAGAGGAUAGUGGAAUUCCAGGUGUAGGAGUGAAAUCCGUAGAUAUCACGCAGAACCCCGAUUGCGAAGGCAGCCUUCCGGCGCCCUACUGACGCUGAGGCACGAAAGUGCGGGGAUCGAACAGGAUUAGAUACCCUUGUAGUC
rnacentral:rRNA from 1 species